GGUUAAGCGACUAAGCGUACACGGUGGAUGCCCUGGCAGUCAGAGGCGAUGAAGGACGUGCUAAUCUGCGAUAAGCGUCGGUAAGGUGAUAUGAACCGUUAUAACCGGCGAUUUCCGAAUGGGGAAACCCAGUGUGAUUCGUCACACUAUCAUUAACUGAAUCCAUAGGUUAAUGAGGCGAACCGGGGGAACUGAAACAUCUAAGUACCCCGAGGAAAAGAAAUCAACCGAGAUUCCCCCAGUAGCGGCGAGCGGACGGGGAGCAGCCCAGAGCCUGAAUCAGUGUGUGUGUUAGUGGAAGCGUCUGGAAAGGCGUGCGAUACAGGGUGACAGCCCCGUACACAAAAAUGCACAUAUUGUGAGCUUGAUGAGUAGGGCGGGACACGUGGUAUCCUGUCUGAAUAUGGGGGGACCAUCCUCCAAGGCUAAAUACUCCUGACUGACCGAUAGUGAACCAGUACCGUGAGGGAAAGGCGAAAAGAACCCCGGCGAGGGGAGUGAAAAAGAACCUGAAACCGUGUACGUACAAGCAGUGGGAGCACGCUUAGGCGUGUGACUGCGUACCUUUUGUAUAAUGGGUCAGCGACUUAUAUUCUGUAGCAAGGUUAACCGAAUAGGGGAGCCGAAGGGAAACCGAGUCUUAACUGGGCGUUAAGUUGCAGGGUAUAGACCCGAAACCCGGUGAUCUAGCCAUGGGCAGGUUGAAGGUUGGGUAACACUAACUGGAGGACCGAACCGACUAAUGUUGAAAAAUUAGCGGAUGACUUGUGGCUGGGGGUGAAAGGCCAAUCAAACCGGGAGAUAGCUGGUUCUCCCCGAAAGCUAUUUAGGUAGCGCCUCGUGAAUUCAUCUCCGGGGGUAGAGCACUGUUUCGGCAAGGGGGUCAUCCCGACUUACCAACCCGAUGCAAACUGCGAAUACCGGAGAAUGUUAUCACGGGAGACACACGGCGGGUGCUAACGUCCGUCGUGAAGAGGGAAACAACCCAGACCGCCAGCUAAGGUCCCAAAGUCAUGGUUAAGUGGGAAACGAUGUGGGAAGGCCCAGACAGCCAGGAUGUUGGCUUAGAAGCAGCCAUCAUUUAAAGAAAGCGUAAUAGCUCACUGGUCGAGUCGGCCUGCGCGGAAGAUGUAACGGGGCUAAACCAUGCACCGAAGCUGCGGCAGCGACGCUUAUGCGUUGUUGGGUAGGGGAGCGUUCUGUAAGCCUGCGAAGGUGUGCUGUGAGGCAUGCUGGAGGUAUCAGAAGUGCGAAUGCUGACAUAAGUAACGAUAAAGCGGGUGAAAAGCCCGCUCGCCGGAAGACCAAGGGUUCCUGUCCAACGUUAAUCGGGGCAGGGUGAGUCGACCCCUAAGGCGAGGCCGAAAGGCGUAGUCGAUGGGAAACAGGUUAAUAUUCCUGUACUUGGUGUUACUGCGAAGGGGGGACGGAGAAGGCUAUGUUGGCCGGGCGACGGUUGUCCCGGUUUAAGCGUGUAGGCUGGUUUUCCAGGCAAAUCCGGAAAAUCAAGGCUGAGGCGUGAUGACGAGGCACUACGGUGCUGAAGCAACAAAUGCCCUGCUUCCAGGAAAAGCCUCUAAGCAUCAGGUAACAUCAAAUCGUACCCCAAACCGACACAGGUGGUCAGGUAGAGAAUACCAAGGCGCUUGAGAGAACUCGGGUGAAGGAACUAGGCAAAAUGGUGCCGUAACUUCGGGAGAAGGCACGCUGAUAUGUAGGUGAAGUCCCUUGCGGAUGGAGCUGAAAUCAGUCGAAGAUACCAGCUGGCUGCAACUGUUUAUUAAAAACACAGCACUGUGCAAACACGAAAGUGGACGUAUACGGUGUGACGCCUGCCCGGUGCCGGAAGGUUAAUUGAUGGGGUCAGCGCAAGCGAAGCUCUUGAUCGAAGCCCCGGUAAACGGCGGCCGUAACUAUAACGGUCCUAAGGUAGCGAAAUUCCUUGUCGGGUAAGUUCCGACCUGCACGAAUGGCGUAAUGAUGGCCAGGCUGUCUCCACCCGAGACUCAGUGAAAUUGAACUCGCUGUGAAGAUGCAGUGUACCCGCGGCAAGACGGAAAGACCCCGUGAACCUUUACUAUAGCUUGACACUGAACAUUGAGCCUUGAUGUGUAGGAUAGGUGGGAGGCUUUGAAGUGUGGACGCCAGUCUGCAUGGAGCCGGCCUUGAAAUACCACCCUUUAAUGUUUGAUGUUCUAACGUGGACCCGUGAUCCGGGUUGCGGACAGUGUCUGGUGGGUAGUUUGACUGGGGCGGUCUCCUCCUAAAGAGUAACGGAGGAGCACGAAGGUUGGCUAAUCCUGGUCGGACAUCAGGAGGUUAGUGCAAUGGCAUAAGCCAGCUUGACUGCGAGCGUGACGGCGCGAGCAGGUGCGAAAGCAGGUCAUAGUGAUCCGGUGGUUCUGAAUGGAAGGGCCAUCGCUCAACGGAUAAAAGGUACUCCGGGGAUAACAGGCUGAUACCGCCCAAGAGUUCAUAUCGACGGCGGUGUUUGGCACCUCGAUGUCGGCUCAUCACAUCCUGGGGCUGAAGUAGGUCCCAAGGGUAUGGCUGUUCGCCAUUUAAAGUGGUACGCGAGCUGGGUUUAGAACGUCGUGAGACAGUUCGGUCCCUAUCUGCCGUGGGCGCUGGAGAACUGAGGGGGGCUGCUCCUAGUACGAGAGGACCGGAGUGGACGCAUCACUGGUGUUCGGGUUGUCAUGCCAAUGGCACUGCCCGGUAGCUAAAUGCGGAAGAGAUAAGUGCUGAAAGCAUCUAAGCACGAAACUUGCCCCGAGAUGAGUUCUCCCUGACCCUUUAAGGGUCCUGAAGGAACGUUGAAGACGACGACGUUGAUAGGCCGGGUGUGUAAGCGCAGCGAUGCGUUGAGCUAACCGGUACUAAUGAACCGUGAGGCUUAACCUU
rnacentral:rRNA from 1 species